AUGGAGAGUGGUAAGAAGACAAUUGGUGUGGUGGCGCUGGUCGCUGCAAUGGUGAUGCUGCAACUCGCGAUAGCUCCGACGGCCAUGGCUCGCUCACUGCAGGGCAUGAAAACAGAUGAGUUGCUUCGGGCGUUCGAGGUUGGAAUGGGAGUGAAUAUGUAUUAUUGUGCUGGAACAUGUGUUGUUAGCCCUUGUUCCGGGACUUCCGCGGAUUGCCGUUGCCAAUGGCCCUCAUGCGUGGCGUAG
rnacentral:rRNA from 1 species